rnacentral:rRNA from 1 species
UCGUGACCCUGACCAAAACAGACCGCGCACGCGUCAUCCAAUCCGUCGGUGACGGCAUCGUCCGUCGCUCGGCCAAUGCCUCGACCACCUCCCCUCCUCGGAGUGGGUGGGGGCUCGGGGUAAAAGAACCCACGGCGCCGAAGGCGUCAAGGAACACUGUGCCUAACCCGGGGGCAUGGCUAGCUUGCUAGCCGUCCCUCGUGUUGCAAAGCUAUUUAAUCCACACGACUCUCGGCAACGGAUAUCUCGGCUCUCGCAUCGAUGAAGAACGUAGCGAAAUGCGAUACCUGGUGUGAAUUGCAGAAUCCCGCGAACCAUCGAGUCUUUGAACGCAAGUUGCGCCCGAGGCCACUCGGCCGAGGGCACGCCUGCCUGGGCGUCACGCCAAAACACGCUCCCAACACCCUCAUCGGGAAUUGGGAUGCGGCAUCUGGUCCCUCGUCUCUCAAGGGACGGUGGACCGAAGAUCGGGCUGCCGGUGUACCGCGCCGGACACAGCGCAUGGUGGGCGUCCUCGCUUUAUCAACGCAGUGCAUCCGACGCGUAGCCGACAUGAUGGCCUCAAAACGACCCAGUAAACGAAGCGCACGUCGCUUCGACC